rnacentral:rRNA from 1 species
UGGGGAAUAUUGCACAAUGGGCGCAAGCCUGAUGCAGCAACGCCGCGUGAGGGAUGACGGCCUUCGGGUUGUAAACCUCUUUUAGUAGGGAAGAAGCGAAAGUGACGGUACCUGCAGAAAAAGCACCGGCUAACUACGUGCCAGCAGCCGCGGUAAUACGUAGGGUGUGAGCGUUGUCCGGAAUUAUUGGGCGUAAAGAGCUCGUAGGCGGUCUGUCGCGUCUGCUGUGAAAACCCGAGGCUCAACCUCGGGCCUGCAGUGGGUACGGGCAGACUAGAGUGCGGUAGGGGAGAAUGGAAUUCCUGGUGUAGCGGUGGAAUGCGCAGAUAUCAGGAGGAACACCGAUGGCGAAGGCAGUUCUCUGGGCCGUAACUGACGCUGAGGAGCGAAAGCGUGGGGAGCGAACAGGAUUAGAUACCCUGGUAGUCCACGCCGUAAACGUUGGGCGCUAGAUGUGGGGACCAUUCCACGGUUUCCGUGUCGCAGCUAACGCAUUAAGCGCCCCGCCUGGGGAGUACGGCCGCAAGGCU